UGUUGGGUUAAGUCCCGCAACGAGCGCAACCCUUGUCUCAUGUUGCCAGCACGUCAUGGUGGGGACUCGUGAGAGACUGCCGGGGUCAACUCGGAGGAAGGUGGGGAUGACGUCAAGUCAUCAUGCCCCUUAUGUCCAGGGCUUCACACAUGCUACAAUGGCCGGUACAAAGGGCUGCGAUGCCGUGAGGUGGAGCGAAUCCUUUUUAAAGCCGGUCUCAGUUCGGAUCGGGGUCUGCAACUCGACCCCGUGAAGUCGGAGUCGCUAGUAAUCGCAGAUCAGCAACGCUGCGGUGAAUACGUUCCCGGGCCUUGUACACACCGCCCGUCACGUCAUGAAAGUCGGUAACACCCGAAGCCGGUGGCCUAACCCGUA
rnacentral:rRNA from 1 species